UACGGAGGGUGCGAGCGUUGUCCGGAAUCACUGGGCGUAAAGGGCGCGUAGGCGGCGAGGAUAGUCAACGGUGAAAGCUUGGGGCUCAACCCCGAGUCGGCCGUCGAUACUUCCUUGCUUGAGCACUGUAGAGGCAGAUGGAAUUCCGGGUGUAGCGGUGGAAUGCGUAGAUAUCUGGAGGAACACCGGUGGCGAAGGCGGCGAUCUGGCCCAACACUGACACUCAGACCCGAAAGUGCGGGGAUCAAACAGG
rnacentral:rRNA from 1 species